GGUUGCGAUCAUACCAGCACUAAUGCACCGGAUCCCAUCAGAACUCCGCAGUUAAGCGUGCUUGGGCGAGAGUAGUACUUGGAUGGGUGACCCCCUGGGAAGUCCUCGUGUUGCAACCCCCUUUUUUCGUUUUUUGGUUUAUUUUAUUUACCGGUCGAUGUGUCUUUGGCGUAGCAUGCGGGUGGCCGUUGAUGUGGGGAACGGGGCUACGGGGUGCCUGGAGGCGCGCUUUCGAUUAAACACGGUUUACCAUGCCGAAAGCUCGUCGGCGCGGGAGACGGAUAUGGGGAGACAGGCCCGCUCGUAGGCGUUGGACUGACGUGCCCAUACUUUAUUGGAAAGCGUGAGAGCUUAUUGACGUGAGUGGCCGCUUUUGUCAAAGGAAGGCUAUGACGAAGGCGCGCGCGCGCACGACGGGCCCGAGACGCGUAACGUAGGCCACACAUGAGAGCAUAGGUGGGCAUGGGAUCAAGGCGUGGAAAGGUAUAAUGGAAUAAGGAGCUUGUAUUCUUUCGGUUGCGAUCAUACCAUCACUAAUGCACCGGAUCCUAUCAGAACUCCGCAGUUAAGCGUGCUUGGGGGAGAGUAGUACUAGGAUGGGUGACCCCCUGGGAAGUCCACGUGUUGCAACCCCCCUUUUUUUCAUUUUUUGGUUUAUUUUAUUUACCGGUCGAUGUGUCUUUGGCGUAGCAUGCGAGUGGCCGUUGAUGUGGGGAACGGGGCUACGGGGUGCCCGGAGGCGCGCUUUCGAUUAAACACGGUUUACCGUGCCGAAGGCGCGUCGGCGCGGGAGACGGGCCCGCUCGUAGGCGUUGGACAGACGUGCCCUUAGUUUAUUGGAAAGCGUGAGAGCUUAUUGACGGUAGUGGCCGCUUUUGUCAAAGUAAGGCUAUGACGAAGGCGCGCGCGCGCACGGUGCGCUUGAGACGCGUAACGCAGGCCACACAUGAGAGCAUAGGUGGGCAUGGGUUCAAGGCAUGGAAAGGUAUAAAGGAAUAAGGAGCUUGUAUUCUUUCGGUUGCGAUCAUACCAGCUCGAAUGCACCGGAUCCCAUCAGAACUUCGCAGUUAAGCGUGCUUGGGGGAGAGUAUUACUAGGAUGGGUGACCCCUGGGAAGUCCUCAUGUUGCAACCCCCGUUUUCUCGUUUCUUGGUUAUUUUAUUUACCGGUCGAUGUGUCUUUGGCGUAGCAUGCGGGUGGCUGUUGAUGUGGGGAACGGGGCUACGGGGUGCCCGGAGGCGCGCUUUCGAUUAAACUAGGUUUACCGUGCCGAAGGCUCGUCGGCGCGGGAGACAGAUAUGGGGAGACGGGCCCGCUCGUAGGCUUUGGACUGACGUGCCCUUAGUUUAUUGGAAAGCGUGAGAGCUUAUUGACGGGAGUGGCCACUUUUGUCAAAGGAAGGCUAUGACGAAGGCGCGCGCGCGCACGGUGGACCCAAGACGCGUAACGUUGGCCAGGCCACACAUGAGAGCAUAGGUGGGCAUGGGAUCAAGGCGUGGAAAGGUAUAAAGGAAUAAGUAGCUUGUAUUCUUUCGGUUGCGUUCAUACCAGCACUAAUGCACCGGAUCCCAUCAGAACUCCGUAGUUAAGCGUGCUUUGGCGAGAGUAGUACUAGGAUGGGUGACCUCCUGGGAAGUCCUCGUGUUGCAACCCCCUUUUUUUCGUUUUUUGGUUUAUAUUAUUUACCGGUCGAUGUGUCUUUGGCGUAGCAUGCAGGUGGCCGUUGAUGUGGGGAACGGGGCUACGGGGUGCCCGGAGGCGCACUUUCGAUUAAACACGGUUUACCGUGCCGAAUGCUCGUCGGCGCGGGAGACGGAUAUGGGGAGACGGGCCCGAUCGUAGGCGUUGGACUGACGUGCCCUUAGUUUAUUGGAAAACGUGAGAGCUUAUUGACGGGAGUGGCCGCUUUUGUCAAAGGAAGGCUAUGACGAAGGCGCGCGCGCGCACGGCGGGCCCGAGACGCAUAAAGUAGGCCACACAUGAGAGCAUAGGUGGGCAUGGGAUCAAGGCGUGGAAAGGUAUAAAGGAAUAAGGAGCUUGUAUUCUUUCGGUUGCGAUCAUACCAGCACUAAUGCACCGGAUCCCAACAGAACUCCGCAGUUAAGCGUGCAUGGGCGAGAGUAGUACUAGGAUGGGUGACCCCCUGGGAAGUCCUCGUGUUGCAACCCUCUUUUUUUCAUUUUUUGGUUUAUAUUAUUUACCAGUCGAUGUGUCUUUGGCGUAGCAUGCGGGUGGCCGUUGAUGUGGGGAACGGGGCUACGGGGUGCCCGGAGGCGCGCUUUCGAUUAAACACGGUUUACUGUGCCGAAUGCUCGUCGGCGCGGGAGACGCAUAUGGGGAGACGGGCCCGCUCGUAGGCGUUGGACUGACGUGCCCUUAGUUUAUUGGAAAGCCUGAGAGCUUAUUAACGGGAGUGGUCGGUUUUGUCAAAGGAAGGCUGUGACAAAGGCGCGCGCGCGCAAGGCGGGCCCGAGACGCGUAACGUAGGCCACACAUGACAGCAUAGGUGGGCAUGGGUUCAAGGCGUGGAAAGGUAUAAAGGAAUAAGGAGCUUGUAUUCUUUUGGUUGGGAUCAUACCAGCACUAAUGCACCGGAUCCCAUCAGAACUCCGCAGUUAAGCGUGCUUGGGCGAGAGUAGUACUAGGAUGGGUGACCCCCUGGGAAGUCCACGUGUUGUAACCCCCUUUUUUUCGUUUUUUGGUUUUUUUUAUUUACCGGUCGAUGUGUCUUUGGCGUAGCAUGCGGGUGGCCGUUGAUGUGGGGAACGGGGCUACGGGGUGCCCAGACGCGCGCUUUCGAUUAAACACGGUUUACCGUGCCGAAGGCUCGUCGGCGCGGGAGACGGAUAUGGGGAGACAGGCCCGCUCGUAGGCGUUGGACUGACGUGCACAUACUUUAUUGGAAAGCAUGAGAGCUUAUUGACGGGAGUGGCCGCUUUUGUCAAAGGAAGGCUAUGACGAAGGCGCGCGCGCACGGCGGGCCCGAGACGCGUAACGUAGGCCACACAUGAGAGCAUAGGUGGGCAUGGGAUCAAGGCGUGGAAAGGUAUAAAGGAAUAAGGAGCUUGUAUUCUUUCGGUUGCGAUCAUACCAGCACUAAUGCACCGGAUCCUAUCAGAACUCCGCAGUUAAGCGUGCUUGGGGGAGAGUAGAACUAGGAUGGGUGACCCCCUUGGAAGUCCACGUGUUGCAACCCCCUUUUUUUCAUUUUUUGGUUUAUUUUAUUUACUGGUCGAUGUGUCUUUGGCGUAGCAUGCGAGUGGCCGUUGAUGUGGGGAACGGGGCUACGGGGUGCCCGGAGGCGCGCUUUCGAUUAAACACGGUUUACCGUGCCGAAGGCGCGUCGGCGCGGGAGACGGAUAUGGGGAGACGGGCCCGCUCGUAGGCGUUGGACUGACGUGCCCUUAGUUUAUUGGAAAGCGUGAGAGCUUAUUGACGGGAGUGGCCGCUUUUGUCAAAGUAAGGCUAUGACGAAUGCGCGCGCGCGCGCGGUGCGCUCGAGACGCGUAACGUAGGCCACACAUGAGAGCAUAGGUGGGCAUGGGUUCAAGGCAUGGAAAGGUAUAAAGGAAUAAGGAGCUUGUAUUCUUUCGGUUGCGAUCAUACCAGCACGAAUGCACCGGAUCCCAUCAGAACUUCGCAGUUAAGCGUGCUUGGGGGAGAGUAUUACUAGGAUGGGUGACCCCUGGGAAGUCCUCAUGUUGCAACCCCCUUUUUCUCGUUUUUUGGUUUAUUUUAUUUACCGGUCGAUGUGUCUUUGGCGUAGCAUGCGGGUGGCCGUUGAUGUGGGGAACGGGGCUACGGGGUGCCCGGAGGCGCGCUUUCGAUUAAACACGGUUUACCGUGCCGAAUGCUCGUCGGCGCGGGAGACAGAUAUGGGGAGACGGGCCCGCUCGUAGGCUUUGGACUGACGUGCCCUUAGUUUAUUGGAAAACGUGAGAGCUUAUUGAAGGGAGUGGCCGCUUUUGUCAAAGGAAGGCUAUGACGAAGGCGCGCGCGCACGGCUGGCCCAAGACGCGUAACGUAGGCCCCACAUGAGAGCAUAGGUGGGCAUGGGAUCAAGGCGUGGAAAGGUAUAAAGGAAAUAAGGAGCUUGUAUUCUUUCGGUUGGUAUCAUACCAGCACUAAUGCACCGGAUCCCAUCAGAACUCCGCAGUUAAGCGUGCUUGGGCGAGAGUAGUACUUGGAUGGGUGACCCCAUGGGAAGUCCUCGUGUUGCAACCCCCUUUUUUUCGUUUUUUGGUUUAUUUUAUUUACCAGUCGAUGUGGCUUUGGCGUAGCAUGCGAGUGGCCGUUGAUGUGGGGAACGGGGCUACGGGGUGCCAGGAGGCGCGCUUUCGAUUAGACACGGUUUACCGUGCCAAAGGCUCGUCAGCGCGGGAGACGGAUAUGGGGAGACGGGACCGCUCCCAGGCGUUGGACUGACGUGCCCUUAGUUUAUUGGAAACCCUGAGAGCUUAUUAACGGGAGUGGCCGGUUUUGUCAAAGGAAGGCUAUAACAAAGGCGCGCGCGCGCACGGCGGGCCCGAGACGCGUAACGUAGGCCACACAUCAGAGCAUAGGUGGGCAUGGGUUCAAGGCGUGGAAAGGUAUAAAGGAAUAAGGAGCUUGUAUUCUUUCGGUUGCGAUCAUACCAGCACUAAUGCACCGCAUCCCAUUAGAACUCCGUAGUUAAGCGUGCUUGGGCGAGAGUAAUACUAGGAUGGGUGAACCCCCGGGAAGUCCUCGUGUUGCAACCCCCGUUUUUCGUUUUUUGGUUUAUUUUAUUUACCGGUCGAUGUGUCUUUGGCGUAGCAUGCGGGUGGCCGUUGAUGUGGGGAACGGGGCUACGGGGAGCCCAGAGGCGCGCUUUCGAUUAAACACGGUUUACCGUACCGAAGGCUCGUCGGCGCGGGAGACGGAUAUGGGGAGACGGGCCCGCUCGUAGGCGUUGGACUUACGUGCCCUUAGUUUAUUGGAAAGCGUGAGAGCUUAUUGACGGGAGUGGCCGCUUUUGUCAAAGGAAGGCUAUGACGAAGGCGCGCGCGCGCACGGCGGGCCCGAGACGCGUAACGUAGGCCACACAUGAGAGCAUAGGUGGGCAUGGGAUCAAGGCGUGGAAAGGUAUAAAGGAAUAAGGAGCGUGUAUUCUUUCGGUUGCGAUCAUACCAGCACUAAUGCACCGGAUCCCAUCAGAACUCCGCAGUUAAGCGUGCUUGGGCGAGAGUAGUACUAGGGUGGGUGACCCCCUGGGAAGUCCUCGUGUUGCAACCCCC
rnacentral:lncRNA from 1 species